GACGAACGCUGGCGGCGUGCUUAACACAUGCAAGUCGAACGGAAAGGCCCUGCUUUUGUGGGGUGCUCGAGUGGCGAACGGGUGAGUAACACGUGAGUAACCUGCCCUUGACUUUGGGAUAACUUCAGGAAACUGGGGCUAAUACCGGAUAGGAGCUCCUGCUGCAUGGUGGGGGUUGGAAAGUUUCGGCGGUUGGGGAUGGACUCGCGGCUUAUCAGCUUGUUGGUGGGGUAGUGGCUUACCAAGGCUUUGACGGGUAGCCGGCCUGAGAGGGUGACCGGCCACAUUGGGACUGAGAUACGGCCCAGACUCCUACGGGAGGCAGCAGUGGGGAAUAUUGCACAAUGGGCGGAAGCCUGAUGCAGCAACGCCGCGUGCGGGAUGACGGCCUUCGGGUUGUAAACCGCUUUCGCCUGUGACGAAGCGUGAGUGACGGUAAUGGGUAAAGAAGCACCGGCUAACUACGUGCCAGCAGCCGCGGUGAUACGUAGGGUGCGAGCGUUGUCCGGAUUUAUUGGGCGUAAAGGGCUCGUAGGUGGUUGAUCGCGUCGGAAGUGUAAUCUUGGGGCUUAACCCUGAGCGUGCUUUCGAUACGGGUUGACUUGAGGAAGGUAGGGGAGAAUGGAAUUCCUGGUGGAGCGGUGGAAUGCGCAGAUAUCAGGAGGAACACCAGUGGCGAAGGCGGUUCUCUGGGCCUUUCCUGACGCUGAGGAGCGAAAGCGUGGGGAGCGAACAGGCUUAGAUACCCUGGUAGCCCACGCUGUAAACGGUGGGUACUAGGUGUGGGGUCCAUUCCACGGGUUCCGUGCCGUAGCUAACGCUUUAAGUACCCCGCCUGGGGAGUACGGCCGCAAGGCUAAAACUCAAAGGAAUUGACGGGGCCCCGCACAAGCGGCGGAGCAUGCGGAUUAAUUCGAUGCAACGCGUAGAACCUUACCUGGGUUUGACAUGGAUCGGGAGCGCUCAGAGAUGGGUGUGCCUCUUUUGGGGUCGGUUCACAGGUGGUGCAUGGCUGUCGUCAGCUCGUGUCGUGAGAUGUUGGGUUAAGUCCCGCAACGAGCGCAACCCUUGUUCACUGUUGCCAGCACGUUAUGGUGGGGACUCAGUGGAGACCGCCGGGGUCAACUCGGAGGAAGGUGGGGAUGACGUCAAGUCAUCAUGCCCCUUAUGUCCAGGGCUUCACGCAUGCUACAAUGGCUGGUACAGAGAGUGGCGAGCCUGUGAGGGUGAGCGAAUCUCGGAAAGCCGGUCUCAGUUCGGAUUGGGGUCUGCAACUCGACCUCAUGAAGUCGGAGUCGCUAGUAAUCGCAGAUCAGCAACGCUGCGGUGAAUACGUUCCCGGGGGC
rnacentral:rRNA from 1 species